UACGGGGGGGGCCAGCGUUGUUCGGAAUUACUGGGCGUAAAGGGCGCGUAGGCGGACCUGGAAGUCUCAAGUGAAAGCCCCCGGCUCAACCGGGGAAGGGCUUGGGAAACUCCGGGUCUGGAGUGCUGGAGAGGAAAGCGGAAUUCCCGGUGUAGCGGUGAAAUGCGUAGAAAUCGGGAGGAACAUCGGCGGCGAAGGCGGCUUUCUGGACAGACACUGACGCUGAGGCGCGAAAGCCAGGGGAGCAAACGGG
rnacentral:misc_RNA from 1 species